rnacentral:rRNA from 1 species
GAUGAACGCUGGCGGCGUGCCUAAUACAUGCAAGUCGAGCGAAAAGACGAGGAGCUUGCUCCUCUAACGUUAGCGGCGGACGGGUGAGUAACACGUGGAUAACCUACCUAUAAGACUGGGAUAACUUCGGGAAACCGGAGCUAAUACCGGAUAAUAUAUUGAACCGCAUGGUUCAAUAGUGAAAGACGGUUUUGCUGUCACUUAUAGAUGGAUCCGCGCCGCAUUAGCUAGUUGGUAAGGUAACGGCUUACCAAGGCAACGAUGCGUAGCCGACCUGAGAGGGUGAUCGGCCACACUGGAACUGAGACACGGUCCAGACUCCUACGGGAGGCAGCAGUAGGGAAUCUUCCGCAAUGGGCGAAAGCCUGACGGAGCAACGCCGCGUGAGUGAUGAAGGUCUUCGGAUCGUAAAACUCUGUUAUUAGGGAAGAACAAAUGUGUAAGUAACUAUGCACGUCUUGACGGUACCUAAUCAGAAAGCCACGGCUAACUACGUG